rnacentral:tRNA from 1 species
GCCUGGGUGGUGAAAUGGUAUACACGCGAGACUUAAAAUCUUGUGGCCGCAAGGCCGUGUGGGUUCGAUCCCCACCCCAGGCA